rnacentral:rRNA from 1 species
CCUACGGGCGGCUGCAGUCGAGAAUCUUCGGCAAUGGGCGCAAGCCUGACCGAGCGACGCCGCGUGGAGGAUGAAGGCCUUCGGGUUGUAAACUCCUGUCGAGGGGGAGGAAGGGGCAACCUUGACCGAUCCCUGGAGGAAGCACGGGCUAAGUUCGUGCCAGCAGCCGCGGUAAGACGAACCGUGCGAACGUUAUUCGGAAUCACUGGGCUUAAAGCGCGUGUAGGCGGAUGGGAACGUCGGUCGUUGAAAGCCCCCGGCUCAACCGGGGAAUUGGCACCGAAACGACCCGUCUGGAGGGGCAUAGGGGGAUCUGGAACUUCCGGUGGAGCGGUGAAAUGCGUUGAGAUCGGAAGGAACGCCCGUGGCGAAAGCGAGAUCCUGGAUGUCUUCUGACGCUGAGACGCGAAAGCUAGGGUAGCGAACGGGAUUAGAUAUCCGGGUAGUC